CACGUAGGGGGCAAGCGUUGUCCGGAAUCAUUGGGCGUAAAGAGCGUGUAGGCGGCUCGAUAAGUCUGCUGUGAAAGUCCAGGGCUCAACCCUGGAAGGCCGGUGGAAACUGUCGGGCUAGAGUCCGGAAGAGGCGAGUGGAAUUCCCGGUGUAGCGGUGAAAUGCGUAGAUAUCUGCAGGAACACCCGUGGCGAAAGCGGCGCGCUGGACCACUACUGACGCUGAGGAACGAAAGCUAGGGGAGCAAACAGG
rnacentral:rRNA from 1 species